rnacentral:lncRNA from 1 species
CGCCCCUUGCUUAAUUGUUCCUAAAAGUUGAACACGAAAAUAUGCAUCAGGUUAGCCCUCAUAGAAGCUAAUAUGGGAUAAACUUGGGGUACAGUUGGACCUGGAGCGAGGUUCGUACAUAUGGAGGCUUCUCUUAGAAGAGAUUUCAGUACAUCUGGUUUUGUUAUCUAUAUCUGAUUGGUGGUGAGUUUGAGAAUGUUUUCUUAAUUUUAACCUUUCCCAUGCCAGCCAUA